rnacentral:rRNA from 1 species
UACGGAAGGUGCAAGCGUUAAUCGGAAUUACUGGGCGUAAAGCGCGCGUAGGCGGCUUGGUAAGUCGGGUGUGAAAGCCCCCGGGCGUCAACCUGGGAACUGCAUUCGAUACUGCCGGGCUGGAGUACGAGAGAGGGGGGUGGAAUUCCAGGUGUGGCGGUGAAAUGCGUAGAGAUCUGGAGGAACACCAGUGGCGAAGGCGGCCCCCUCGGUUGAUACUGACGCUGAGGUGCGAAAGACGUGGGG